rnacentral:rRNA from 1 species
CCUACGGGGUGCUGCAGUGGGGAAUAUUGGACAAUGGGCGAAAGCCUGAUCCAGCCAUGCCGCGUGUGUGAAGAAGGCCUUCGGGUUGUAAAGCACUUUCAGUGGGGAAGAAAGCCUUGGGGCUAAUACCCUCGAGGAAGGACAUCACCCACAGAAGAAGCUCCGGCUAACUCCGUGCCAGCAGCCGCGGUAAUACGGAGGGUGCGAGCGUUAAUCGGAAUUACUGGGCGUAAAGCGCGCGUAGGCGGUCUGAUAAGCCGGUUGUGAAAGCCCCGGGCUCAACCUGGGAACGGCAUCCGGAACUGUCAGGCUAGAGUGCAGGAGAGGAAGGUAGAAUUCCCGGUGUAGCGGUGAAAUGCGUAGAGAUCGGGAGGAAUACCAGUGGCGAAGGCGGCCUUCUGGACUGACACUGACGCUGAGGUGCGAAAGCGUGGGUAGCAAACAGGAUUAGAUACCCCGGUAGUC